CUUCUUACCUGGCAGGGGAGAUACCAUGAUCACGAAGGUGGUUUCCCCAGAAUGGGGCUCAUCCAUUGCACAUUGCACUCCGGGUGUGCUGACCCCCGCGAUUUCCCCAAAUGUGGGAAACUCCACUGCAUAAUUUGUGGUAGUGGAGGACUGCGUUCGUGCUCUCCCCUG